rnacentral:rRNA from 1 species
GCAAGUCGAACGCGAAAGCCCCGCAAGGGGUAAGUAGAGUGGCAAACGGGUGAGUAACACGUGGGUGACCUGCCUCAGAGUGGGGGAUAACGACCCGAAAGGGUCGCUAAUACCGCAUAACAUCCUGCGUUUGGAAACGCGGAGAUCAAAGCCGGGGAUCGCAAGACCUGGCGCUCAGAGAGGGGCCCGCGGCCGAUUAGCUAGUUGGUAGGGUAACGGCCUACCAAGGCAACGAUCGGUAUCCGGCCUGAGAGGGCGGACGGACACACUGGGACUGAGACACGGCCCAGACUCCUACGGGAGGCAGCAGUGGGGAAUUGUUCGCAAUGGGCGCAAGCCUGACGACGCAACGCCGCGUGGAGGAUGAAGAUCUUCGGGUCGUAAACUCCUUUCGAUCGGGAAGAACGCCUUCGGCGCAAAUAUCGCCGGAGGGUGACGGUACCGAGAGAAGAAGCCCCGGCUAACUCCGUGCCAGCAGCCGCGGUAAUACGGGGGGGGCAAGCGUUGUUCGGAAUUACUGGGCGUUAAGGGCUCGUANGCG